CUGUGUUUUUUGCCUCUGACAAUCUGGGCAACAUCUUUUUGAGCCUGAUUGUGGCUCUAGGUGCCAAAAUUUUUUAAACUGAUCUCUUGACAUUGCUAUGCUAACCAAGGAACAGCUUAAUAGCAGGAAAUGCCUGGAGUGUUAGUGGGAAAUUGUAUUUAUUUAUUCUGUGGAAGAUCCUAAAGGAGCCCUUCAGGAGUGGGACCCUGUUGCAGCUCUGCUGUGCUGCAGAAAAAAGCUCCUGUGUGCUGUAGAUCUGGGUUUCACUGCUGUAUGUGUCACACCAGCUUGGCUAUCCUGGGCAUGGCACUUGGCUUUUCUGCACUGAGCUUUUCUGCACCUCAAAAAAGGAUUAGUAAUUCCUGAAAGUCAUGAGAAGGAAGAGCAAAGUCCUAGAGGAAGAGGAGGGGUGAGCCACCCACCUUGUGUGCCCAGCAGAGGUUCCCCGGGUGGGAUGCAAUUGGCUGCUGCCAGACCAUCAUCUGUUUGGAGGAUGGAGUGGACCAGCAGCUCCCAGAAAGGUGGUUCAUAGCCAGGGGAGUGUGGCAGUGGCCUCCUGGGACCCCUCCAGCAGGAUGUGGAUGGCCAGAUAUGAAGUGCUGCCAGUCACGACUCCUAAGCUUCAAAAGGAUCUCUCAUCAGCAGUGACAGAGGCUCUUUUGUGCAGCUUUUGGAAGUGGCUCUGACUGCUUCCACGCAGGCAGGGGACUGCGGAGCUCCUCUUCACUCCAGCCUCUCAGUGCACCAUCUGGAUGGCGGAGGGAGUUUUGUGUAUCUUUCCCCCAAGGCUUCAGGCGAGGACUCCUUGUGUGAGAACACAGCCUUGGAUGUUUUUGCCUCAGGUCUCUUGUGGUGUAUUUGCUUCCUCACUGUGUUCACAAUGACAGAGCCGCUUUCAAGAUUCAGUCUGAGCUGGUGAAUUUUUUGCCUGUAAUAUUCCAGUUGCUUUGUAAAGGCUGAAUUCAGGGACUUGCCAUAGACUAGUGAGACAGAAUUGUCACAGUCCUAAAUGAAUUUCUGUUAUAGCUUAUUAUUUUGGAGUGCCAUGUCUGAGCAUGUAAAUCCUCUGGGUCUGCUGGAUGAGCUUUCUCUAUGGACAGAGAGAGGAUGUGUGGCACAGCAGUUCCAGCAGCUUUAGCAGUGGCAAAGCACUGGGGGCUUUGGUUUGCUCUGCUGUUCCUCCUCUUUAGAUCAGCAGAGCCUCUGGAGUCCAGCUUCCCACAGAAGACAGCAAAAGUGGCUCCUGUCCAUGUGUGCUGAAGGUGUGGCCCCCCCACUCAGCUUCCAGGUGGUCACAGUGAGGCUGGAGUAGCUGAGAGAAGCAGCAACUGGGCUGUGUGUCAGCUUUCUGGUUUACAGGGAAAAGAGACAGAAUAAAGCCUCCCUGCAAUCUUGCACAGUAAAAAA